AAUUCUCAAAAAAGAACCUUUGGUAGUAUUAUCAAUGGCCUUUUUUGGAUGUGAGGGUUUUGUUGGCGAAAGUCAACUCCCUUGAAAUGCAUUAGCUUGGUUGACUGGACUUUGUCUAUUGGUGUGAUAAUUAUCUACGCCAUUGGAUUGUCUGCUUGUCGAACUGCUUCUAAUCGUCUCAUUGGGGACUUUAUGAAUGACC
rnacentral:misc_RNA from 1 species